GUGCUCUCCUAACUUUGACCCUGGCGUCUGGAGACGAAAACAAUCGGGAAGCCACUUCAGAGUUCACAAAGAGAACGAAAAAUAAAAAAUGCAUUACUGGAUUCGAGCUGAUUCCGCUGAUUUCGCCGGUCCUCUUCCACAACCUCGCAGUGGUCACACGGCUGUGUUGAUCGGGAAAUCCAAGGUUGUGGUGUUCGGAGGCCUUGUCGACAAGAAAUUUCUCGGCGAUGUUGUUGUAUAUGAUAUCGAGAACAAAUUAUGGUUUCAGCCGCAGUGCAGUGGGAGUGGGUCUGAUGGACAAGUGGCUCCCAGCGCACGAUCUUUCCAUGUUGCUGUCGCAAUUGAUUGUCAUAUGUUCAUUUUUGGUGGGCGAAGUGGUAGUAAAAGUUGGAUUCAGGUUGGGCGACUUUUGGGUCCUUGAUACAGAUAUAUGGCAAUGGUCAGAGCUGACCAGUUUUGGUGACUUACCCUCACCACGGGAUUUCUCAGCUGCUUCUGCUAUUGGAAACAGGAGAAUCGUCAUGUAUGGAGGCUGGGAUGGUAAAAAGUGGUUGUCAGACGUGUAUGUCUUGGACACAAUGUCACUGGAGUGGAUGGAGCUGGCAGUUUCUGGAACACUUCCACCGCCAAGAUGUGGCCAUACAGCUACCAUGGUUGAGAAACGGUUGCUUGUCUAUGGUGGCAGAGGUGGAGGUGGACCAAUCAUGGGUGAUUUAUGGGCUCUGAAGGGCCUUAUUGAAGAAGAGAUUGAGACACCUGGAUGGACCCAAUUGAAGCUUCCAGGUCAAUCUCCAUCUCCUCGCUGUGGGCAUACUGUCACUUCUGGAGGGCACUAUCUCUUACUAUUUGGAGGGCAUGGAACAGCUGGUUGGUUGAGUCGUUAUGACAUUUAUUACAACGAUUGCAUUGUUUUAGACAGGGUUUCUGCGCAAUGGAAGCGCUUGCCUACCGGCAAUGAUCCCCCUCCUGCACGAGCAUACCAUUCUAUGACAUGCAUUGGUUCACGUUAUCUUCUAUUUGGUGGCUUUGACGGGCAGUCAACAUUCAGCGAUCUAUGGUGGUUGGUUCCAGAAGACGAUCCUAUUUCAAAGCGAGUGUUAGCAUCGCCACCAAAAACUCUUUCUGAAAACAAGGAUAUGGCUACAGCAAAUGACAGCAUUCGGUCUGCUUUUAAGGAAGGAGAUGGAGAGGAAUAUGCUAUUACAGAAUUACAAAAGAGAUUGAACAUUUCCUUUGCACUUUCUGGUUCUAGGCUUCAAAUUAUAGAUGAAUUAGAAGACAAAGAAUUUCUGGAACUUGCAUCAGGGUUCAUUGGAGAUAAAGUUUUCAACACUCCUCAGGCAAUUCAGGCUCUUCGUGACCGCUGGAGAAAUUCUGCACCUAGAUCAAUACCACUUAAGGAGCUUGGACCCCUGCUUCGUGACUACCAGCGCCUGAUUACUCGUCAUCAUUUGUCAAGUGAUGGAUCAGAUAUACAAUUCUUAGAGUCUGGCGUUCCUGGGAAAGAAACUUAUGAAUAUUAUCAUAUUAAAAGUGCUUCUCAGCUGCGUAUGGAUGAUAUCCCAAAGCUGCUGGCGGAAUACAUACAACUGUCGCCUGUUUGAACCAAACUCUGUUUAAAAUUACCUUUGGAGUGGCUGAAAAAUAAUUGUGAGAACAUUUUAGUUGAAAAGCCUGAAGUAGCAAAAGAUGGAGCUCCUGCACAAGUGGCUCCAAGCUAUCUUUGCUGGUAGUAGACAGUUCUUGCCAGAAGUGUGUUUUUUUUUUUUGGUUUCUCUAUUCUGGGAGAAAAGAUGGCUUUUCGUGAUGUGAGUUACAAAGCUCGUGUAUUUUAGACUCUCUAGACGAGGCUUUUAUUCUUGAAAUGAAACUAAUAAGUACAAGAAGACCGAUGCUAUGGUACAAGGGUUUGAAUUUAUUUGGCUACUUUCAUAGCCAUUCGUAAAGAUUCUAUGUUUAGAA